AGAGGGAGGCAGCCGGGAAGAACCACAAGCCACACAGUGCAGGAAAGAUGCUUCGCUAUCGUGUAAGUUUUGGAAAUGUGAAAUAUCAACAUAACGGAGCUUCCAGUAGUGCUGGAUGGAGUUCGGUGUGCAGCGUGAGCCCAGCAAAGGCUUCACUUCAAGCAUAAGUUCCGUCGCUUCGCAUCACGGUGAAGGAAGCAGAGCUGAUUAGUGGUGCAGCCGCCCCUCUGACGGCAGCCUUUUAUCGUUGAUUGAAGCCCCGGAGCACAG